UUUUUGCGGUAUCCGGCGGUAAAGCCGGAUUGAAAAAGGAAGCCGGUGUAAAUCCGGCGCAGUCCCGCUGCUGUAUUUGGGGACGAAGAUGCAAUUUGCCACUGUAGCGUUAAUUGCUGCGGGAAGGUGCAUCCGAGGAAGAACCAUGAGCCAGAAUACUUGCCGCUUAAGA
rnacentral:ncRNA from 1 species